AGUAUGACUUAUUCCUACUAGAGACCACUGCAGAUGUGUUAAACUGUUCCUACUGUGAAACACGGAGGAGGCGCUGUUAUGUUCUGGGGCUGUUUUGCUGCAUCUGGUACAGGAUUUUUUUUAUCACAGUUCAUGGGUCUUCUGCAACAUGACAAUGACCCAAAACACUCAGCUGAAAACACAAACAAGAACGGCUAAGAGGAAAACAUCAGACUAUUCUAAAGUGGCCUUCUAUGAGUCCUGACAUCAAUCCUAUUGAGCAUCUUUGUAAAGAAUUGAAACAUGCUGUCUGGACAAGACAUCCUUCCAACCCGAGAUAACUGGAGAAGUUUGCUCGUGAGGAGCGGGCCAAAAUACCUGCUGAGAAGUGCAGAAGUCUCAUUGACAGUUACAGGCAUCGGUUGAUUGCAGUGAUUGCCUCAAAAGGUUGUGCAACAAAAUAUUAAGUUGGGGUAUCAUCAUUUUAGCCCAGGCCUGUUCCAUGAGUUUAUUUAUUUAAUUAAUUCCAUAGAAGCAUGGUUGAAAAGCAACAUCUGACUUUCACUGGUUAUAUUUCAUAGAAUUUUUUUAUUAUUUAUUUAAAUUUCAUUUAACUUUUGUCAGAUUCAAGUUAUUUCAGCGACCAUUGUGGGGUUUUCUUUUUUUCUCAUUUCACAAUGCCGUCCAUGUCUGUAUGAAUUCUGUGAUGAAGUCACUAAACUCUCCAGAUUGUUAGGUUGUCUUUUUCCUCAGCAGUGACACUAAAACUCCGCCCUGCGCAGCAGAUGCUCAGUAGACGGGCCCUUUGCUGUAAUGGUCUGAGUUAGAACCAAUCACACACACACUCAUUCACUCCUCCUGCCACCGGCUCCCAGGCCUCUAACCAAUCAGAGCAGCCCUCCGUCCUCACAUGACUCGUGUGCUACCGUCCGUACACUGCCUCGUAUAUAGAGCGUGCAAGAAAAUGUGGAGCAGUUCAAUAACUUGAGCUGCAGCCAGGCUUUCACGUGUGUGUGCGUGCGUGUGUGUGUGCGUGUGUGUGUGCGUGUGCGUGUGUGUGUGCGUGUUAGUGGGGGAAGGGAUGUGUGCUUGUUUAUUUAUAUGAUGCGCUGAAGAAGCGACAGUAGGGGUGAAAGAGGAAGAGUUUGAAGUCUGAUGUUUUCCUGCGUGCCAGAAGAGCGUGCUCGUCUGGAAGAAGAAAGACAAGAGCGAGGGAGGGAGGGACGGAGGGAGGGAAAGAGGGGGGGAGGGAGGGUGAGGAACUCGUUCAACCCAUUUCAGCGGCAACUUUUCAGCUCGUCUACAUGAGGUCUCCUCCUGAGAAUGGAAGCCUUUCGCGCUCGUCGUCUCUUCGCCGCCGUUUCCUGUUCCUGAACUUUUGGGAACAUUACAGGAGGGAGUUCAUGGAGACAUGGGCUUGUCAGAGAGACUAAGAUCUAACCGAAGAUGAUGAAGACGACGAUCGCCAAGUCUGCAGGGCUUCCCAAAGGCAUCCAAACCUGCAACCUUUCCUCAAAAUAUUUUUUGAUUCCUUGCAACAACUAAGUGGCAAUGAAUUAGACAUGGAGAUGCUCCACAAGCUCUAAGUGCAAACUCACAAAGAACUGUGUACCUUCGUCUCAUUGAUGGAUGCAGAUUGGAUUAUUUAAAAUCAUAAUCGUGAUUAUUUUUGGUAAAUAUUAAACUCAAGGUUAUUUAACAAAUAAUACUAAAUAACAUCUAGUUCUCACGUCUGACCAAAAACACACCACAGCAGCACAGCUCAUCCAAAUCAGAGCGUCAGAGAGCACUACACGUUUACCACCUAUGCUGUAGAUGCUGCCUUCACUUACAUCACCAACAGGCUUCCAGUUGAGUAAAACCGAAAAUAUCCAGACUUCACACAACAGACGCUGCAGACAAAGACACUUGACAAUAAAAUGAAUUUUUACUGUUGUUGUAUAUUGAAUGUGUUCAUUUUAAUCUAUGUGAAACAAGCAAACCCUGGUGCCUACAGGGAACAUUCAACGCUGUCGGUGAGUUUGUGGUCUGACAAAAACCAUUGACCGUUGACUGUACCCUGAGGGACACCUAAAGCACAAGAUCCAGUUCUAGGUCCAAAACCAACGAUCAGUGGAGCAGAGGUUUCAUUCAAGGCUGCAAUAAACAUUCAUUGCUGUCGGUGGGUUUAUACUAGAAUAACUCACUGAUCAAUGAAUGCAGACUGCGGUUCAAACACUCCUGGCAAUGAUGCACACUAACAGGAAGGUGAGCAACUCACCCAACCCAGGGUGCAGGUAAACCUGUACACGGGUUUGUGUGCAUACUAAUACAGACACAGCAAUCCCCGUUCAGGUGUUGCAAAGUCCAGAUGUUAAGCUUUUGGUAUGAAUAAAGAGUUUGUAAGUAUUCCAGUGUAUAGAUAUGUAGCUGGAGUCAGAAGGUUUUAUCCUGUUAUCAUUGAUCUGAACAGUGAUUUUCCAAAUG